GCCAAAGAUCCCCAGCUGGAACUGGAAUGCUGGAGACAACAUCAUCUGCUUUGCCGAAUUAAAGCUUGGAUUUAUCGCCCAAGGCUGUUUGGUGCCAGGCUUGUGUACCUUCCUGACGUCUCUAUUUGUCGAGCAAAACAAGAAGGUUUGUCCUAAAGAGCCCUGGCAAAGGUAUUUCUUCAGUGGCCUGAAGAACAAAAUCCUGACUCAGCGUCUCUCCGACGACUUUGCUGGCAUGAGUUUUCCUGAUGUGUCCCGGCUCUGCUUUGUGAAGAUGCAUCUCAUGCUGAUAGCCAUCGAACACAAAUCCAUGUGUCACGGUUACUGGUACCAGUGGGUCUUCCAACCUCUUCCGUUUCUUUGAGGAGAAUCUUUAUGAUUAAGAUUUUCCCAAACAUGCAGCCGUCACUUAAGGUUUUUGGCAUUUGUUGAGAGCCAGCCUGUUGGGCACCAAGGCUGCUGUGGUGCUGUUAAUACUGUCUCUCACGACAGGGGUUAGAAUCUAAGGAUUGAGGUUAGAAUGGUUACCCUUGUGGGUGGGCAGGAAUUCUGCCUUGGUUCCUGUGGCCUUGCCCCAAUUCCCUCUCAUGAUCAGGGGAGCGAAGAAUUGGUCACUUUCUCAGAUCUGUUUCUUCUAAUCUAUUACCAGAUCUUGUAAGUCUUGCCCAUGAAAUAGAAUCAUUUGUGAUGAAAAUUCUCCCAUAAACUCUAGCCUUAGAAACUAACCUGCGAAAUAUGGAAAAAUGGGAAUUUGACUGGCCUCAUGGACAAAGUAUGCUGUUAACCAGGUAGAUAAAGGAAAGAGGUAACAUUAUCAGACCAACAGCAUUUCCUGAAAACCCAUAUUGGAUAAUGUAAGAAGUAAGAGAAGUUAUUGUAUAAUGAAAAAGAAAAUCCAGGAAAAACAGAAUCAGCCACAAUGAUACAGAGAUAAAAGGUGCUGAAAAAUAAGGAAAAGUGGGGCUUAUGUGGG